rnacentral:rRNA from 1 species
AUUGAACGCUGGCGGCAGGCCUAACACAUGCAAGUCGGGCGGGCGGCGGACGGGUGAGUAAUGUAUGGGGAUCUGCCUGAUGGAGGGGGAUAACUACUGGACACGGUAGCUAAUACCGCAUACCAUCAGAUGAACCCAUAUGGGAUUAGCUUGUAGGUGGGGUAAAGGCUUACCUAGGCGACGAUCCGUAGCUGGUCUGAGAGGAUGAUCAGCCACACUGGAACUGAGACACGGUCCAGACUCCUACGGGAGGCAGCAGUGGGGAAUAUUGGACAAUGGGCGCAAGCCUGAUGCAGCCAUGCCGCGUGUAUGAAGAAGGUCUUCGGGUUGUAAAGUACUUUCAGUCGGGAGGCGUUACCGACAGAAGAAGCACCGGCUAACUCCGUGCCAGCAGCCGCGGUAAUAC